rnacentral:misc_RNA from 1 species
UUUCCGUAGGUGAACCUGCGGAAGGAUCAUUCAUAAUAAGUGUUUUAUGGCACUUUUUUAAAUCCAUAUCCACCUUGUGUGCAAUGUCAGGGUUGAUUUUUCUCUCGAGAGGAUCUACCCCAAACAUCAACUAUAUCUCAACUCUUUGUCUGAAAAAUAUUAUGAAUAAAACAAUUCAAAAUACAACUUUCAACAACGGAUCUCUUGGCUCUC